CCAAACGAGGAUUUUCACGAAAACAUCGACCGCAGGCUGCGCAGCAGAGCCAAAGGGAACGGUACUAAGACGAACAGGACCCGAUGCAAUGGAUCCAGAGGCAUGACAGCCAUCUCAAUGGCGUUUCUAAAGUUGGAUAAGGAUCUUUGGCCUUGAAAAGAAACGUUAGAGGGAUUAAAUAGAUUAAACAGCAAUGACUGCGUUGUCACUUGUUUGAUAGAAAGACGGAGAGAGGGGCCAAAGUGGACUCCCCCUCCCCUCGGUAGAGCCGUUCCACCCGAUGGAGGCUGACGGGACCUUUGCAGUUAGCUCAAGGCCCGGAAUAUCACCUGUGAAGCGUUGACACCUCGUUGCAGGACGCAUUUAAGAAUAAAACGCGCACAUUUGACCGUGUUUGGAACUACUUAUUUAACAACUUCUAAGAAAGCCUGCAUACGGAGAGAAAAGUUCGCAGGUCAACGUUAGCUGAACGAGACAACCCCGCGCGCAAGAUGAACAUGAUUGAUUUAACUUGAGGGGGAGGUUAUUCACAGCCUCAGGUAACUUAGGGCAGGUGAACAGCACGCUAGUUAAUGGACUCAACGCUUUUUUCCUUGCUUGGUUUUUUUUCUUUUUAAACAUACACCCGCAGAUUAACCAUCGGCUUUCGAGGACUCAUCUCUUCACAAGGAUUUUUUUUCUCUCAUCAAGUUUACCUUCUCCAGUAACCAUGUCACUCAAAGACAACGCUUGUCGGAAAUUUCAAGCCAACAUUUUUAACAAAAGCAAAUGUCAGAACUGCUUUAAACCCAGAGAAUCACAUCUGCUGAACGACGAAGACUUAAAUAAGGCAAAACCUAUAUAUGGAGGAUGGUUGCUACUGGCACCAGAGGGAACAAAUUUUGACAAUCCCUUACACAGAUCUCGGAAAUGGCAAAGAAGAUUCUUUAUUCUCUACGAGCACGGCCUACUUAGAUACGCUCUGGAUGAGAUGCCCAGCACUCUACCCCAGGGUACGAUCAAUUUGAACCAGUGCUCUGAUGUCAUAGACGGCGAGUCCAGGACGGGUCAGAAGAACUCAUUGUGCAUCGUCACCCCAGAGAAAGAGCAUUUCAUACGAGCAGAGUGCAAAGAAAUCAUUAAUGGGUGGCAGGAGGCCCUGACUGUGUACCCGAGGACCAACAAGCAGAACCAGAAGAAAAAACGCAAAGUUGAUCCACCUACUCACCAGGACGGAGUAACUCCAAGCCAGUGUUUUUCCACUGAAGACAUGAAUGGACACUCAUCUUUCCGUGAUCUUACCUCCCAUUGUGUCCUUUCCUCUACCCAUCCACACCUCCCAAUUCCAUCCAUUAACCAGGAGCCAGGGCCUGCCAAGGUAACAGUGACCAGCAGCAGCAGUGGAGGCAGCAUCCCAUGCCUGCCCAGCAGUAUUGCCAGCGCUGAGCGGGUCCCGAUGAGCCGUGCCACCCUGUGGCAGGAGGAGAACCGCUGGAGCAGGGCCACCAUCCCCUGCAGCCGCAGUGCCUCCUGCCUCAGCCAGCUGAGCCAGAGCCAAAUAGACGCCAGUAUCACUACUCAAGAUGAUGGUGGCACUGUGAGUACAGGGCGAAAGGUACGAGUAGAGAGUGGUUACUUUUCCCUGGAGAAGACCAAGUCAGAACCUUCUCCACAGUCUACACAUCACUCCCAGCCACCCCAGCAUCUGCCCCUGUCCUCUUCAGCAUCAUCCUCCUCGUUAGGAGCUCCCAGUUCCAGGUACACCUCUGAAUCAGAGCCCCAAAUUUCCCCUCCUCACCCCUCCCAAGAUACUCUCCCCUCUCCAGGUGCACUUGUUUCCCCAAGCUACUCCACCAUCAGCUCUUCCCGGAGCUCACUGGACUCUGAACCCAGUGUUGCUACAUCCACCUGGGAGGGGCGCAGUGGUGAUGGAGGGAGCAAUAGUAGUGUCAGUGGUGGUGGAGGCAGAGUCGGUCGGUCCGGCAGAGAGUAUGCAGCUCUGUCUGAUGUGCCAAGAGCUCGCAGACUGAGCUACAGAGAAGCCUUCCGCUCAGAGAAAAAGCGCCAAGAACUGAGGGCACGCACACGGAGCCCUGGGAGGGAGGAGGUGGCUCGGCUCUUUGGAGAGGAGCGCAGACGAUCUCAAAUCAUCAGCCGCUUUGAGGAGAGUCACCAUGUUGAGCAUAUGGACACAGGCAGCUCUAAUGAUCCUUCAACUAACACCACAGCAAUCCAGAGACAAGGCCGAAGUGAGAGACGCUAUCUGGACAACAAGCAUGAGAUGUCACUCGAUACGGGAAAAGAGUAUUUAGCCCCUGAUGUGUCCUGCUCCAGUUUUGUCAGCUUGAGAAGAGCCAAGUCAUUGGACCGGAGAGUUACAGAGUCUUCAAUGACUCCGGAUCUGUUGAACUUCAAAAAAGGAUGGAUGACAAAGCUUUAUGAAGAUGGAAUGUGGAAGAAACACUGGUUUGUCCUGACAGACCAAAGUUUGAGGUAUUAUAAGGACUCAAUAGCUGAGGAGGCCUCAGAACUAGAUGGUGAGAUUGACCUUUCCACAUGUUAUGAUGUCAAAGAGUUCCCAGUCCAGAGGAAUUAUGGCUUCCAAAUCCUUUGUAAAGAGGGAGCGUGCACCCUGUCAGCCAUGACCUCUGGAAUCCGUCGCAAUUGGAUUCAGGCCAUUAUGAAGAAUGUGCGACCCACUAUUGCCCCAGAUGUCACCCGGAAAAACAUCUCUCUGAAACUAUCCGUUCUGAAGCCCAGAUCCAUUCCUGAUGAGAAGAUAAAAGGUCAUGUGAUGUUGGAGCCAUGUCCACAGGCCACCCCUGAUCUAAGCCCCAGUCCUGAGGUCCCCAGGUCUGAUGGUCGCAGGCAGCCCCCAGGCAGUAAUACCUCCACCUCUCCUUCUGAGCCACGAAAAAGCAGAGUCCGGGAGCGAAGACGAGAGGGUCGGUCAAAAACAUAUGACUGGUCUGAGUUCAAAAUGGAGCAGAAAGAGAAAGAGAAAGAGCGAGCAGACACAGUUGACCUCAGCUCAUCAUGCUCUACAACCUCCUCCUACUGCUCUCCUCAUUCUUCUUCCGCCUCCUCCUUGGCGUCUUCUCCUGUCUCUUCCUCCUCCCUCCAAACCUCGUCUGUAUCGGGGGCUCACCCACCUUCAGUGACUGUGGAAACUGAAAGGGAGAAUGCUAGGAGAGGAAAUCCUCCCCAAAGCACAACCAGUUCAAGUCACACGCCAAAUACUGUAACUGUUAUUUCAACACUUCAUACUGCAGCACCAUCAGCAGCUGAAAGCCAAGAACAAGGGAAGAUGGACGUAGACCAUCCUACUGUUCUUUGUCAAGGGAGGGAAGAUAAAACAGACAGCAAGUCCUCUGAUGUCCAAGAAGAGAUUGAACAGCGAUGGCAUCAGGUGGAAACGACACCAUUGAGAGAAGAGAAGCAAGUUCCCAUCACAACUGCUUUAGGAAACUCUGAACGGCUGCCUCCGCAUGAGCUUGCUGCACUGUUAGACAAGGAGUUGGGACAGAAGCAGAAAGAGCUCAACCAAUUACAAGAGCAGAACAACAUUUUAAAAGAGCAACUGGAAGAUGCCAUUGGGAGAGAACAAAAUGCCAGAGAGGGCUAUGUACUGCAGAGUGCAACGCCUUCCUCUUCACCGCACAGAAUGCCAUGGCAACAUUUGCACAAGCUUAAUCAAGAUUUACAGGAUGAAUUGGAGUCCCAAAAACGCAAGCAGGACCUUGCACAACAGCAAAUACGGACGUUAAAGAGAAGUUACACUGAAGCUCAGGACGCUGUGGACCGCCAUGAGACUGAAAUUCAGGCUCUCCAGGUUAAACUUGCAUCUGCUAUGGCUGAAAUCUUGGCUAGUGAACAGUCUGUAGCCCGAAUGCGGAAUGAGCUAAAGCUAGAGCAGGAGCGCUCAAAAGAACAAGAAGAGGAAUAUGGCCGCAGUGAGGCCACCCUACGAGCCCAGCUAAAGGACAGUGAAGACAGACUCCGUGAAGUAGAAGCAAGCCUCUUGGAGAGAAACCAGGCCCUUAGGCACCUGGAGCGCCAGCAGGCCCUGCAACGAGACCACGUGAGAGAGAUACAGAGGUUGCAGGAGAGGCUGCAAGAGGUGACUGCUCGGUUAAUUGCUACCGAAGAAGGUCAGGCACUGAAAGAGGAGCGUCUGAGGAAGGAGCAGCAUAGCAUGCAAGAAAGUCAUGAGAGGGAACGGCAGAAUCUGUGUAGAAGAUUAGCUGAGGCUGAAACUGCACGCAAGGAAGUAGAAGACAGACUGUUGGAGGCUGAGCAACAGGUCGAGGCCUUGUUGAGAGGGAGGCGGGCCUCAGGGGGCAAAGAAUACAGGGAGGAAAUGCUGAAGUUGCAAGAGCAACUGGCCCAAAAGUCUGACAUGGUUGAAUCAUUGAGGGAAAGUGUACGAAGGCUAGAGGAAGAAAAAGGCCACCUCACCUGUCGCUGUCAGGAACUUCUCAACCAGAUUGCAGAAGCAGACCGUGAGGUGAAUAAGCUCCGCAACCGGCUGGAAACUGAAGAAGCUGAUUACUAUACCCUGGAGCACUCAUAUGAAAGGGCCACUCAGGAGUUUCAAAAAAUGAGCCAGUUUCUAAGAGAGAAAGAGGAAGAGAUCCGACAGACUAAAGAGAUGUAUGAGAGGCUGAUGGAGCGCAAGGAAGAAGAUCUAAAAGAGGCUCUUGUCAAAAUGACGGCUCUUGGCACCAGCCUGGAGGAAACUGAACAGAAGUUACAAGCAAAGGAGGAGCUUCUCUGUCAAAUGACUCAAAGUCUCCUAGAUAAAGCUGAGCCCUGCAAUGCUGAAAAGGACCUGAAAGCCAAGCUUGUGGUUGCAGAGGAUCGCAUUGCAGAGUUAGAGCAGCACCUUAAUGCUCUGCAGCUCGGUUAUGCUGAUCUACGCAUGGAAAGGGAGCAAAUACUAGAACAGGACAGGAAGGGAAGGGCCGAGACAUCAUCCUCUUUAUCAUCCAACACAAAUCUUCCUUUGGAUGAUUUUUCCAAGGCAGAGAACUGCCCCGAUGAUAAAGAGUCUCAAACUAAGAAACCAAGGAUACGGUUUUCAAAUAUUCAGUGCCAAAAAUACAUCUGUCUUGAGGACAUGGACACCAGCCAUGUGAGCAGUGAUUUUGUCGAUGGAGGACAGAAAGAUAACCAGGAUGUAAAUGUAGACUUUCAGUUGGAUGAUGAAAAUGUCUCAGAUAUCACAGUCCCUCAAACAAGUGACCCAGAGAAAUUCAUCUCUAUCAUACACACCUUAGAAACUAAACUGCUUGCAACUGAGGAUAAGCUGAGACAUCUGACACAGAAUUUAGAGGUGCAACAACCCGUCGAGACCGGAGACAUGUCCGAGCCUGAUCUAAAGAUGGCAGAAAAGAAGCCUUGCACAGAGGAAGAGAUUAGUGACGCUAUUAAGUAUUACACCAAGGCCCUGGUGUGUGUUGAAAAUAGUCGAGAGAAAGUAAGGGCUAUUCUCAGCAGUUCCCAUGGUAACACUGAUUCCCAGCUGCACUCGCUGUCAGAGAUAGAGAAUGAUUUGUUUGAUGCGGCUCUUCACAUCCGACAAGGCCAGAAGACGUUGGAAGAACAGUCACCGUGCCAUCAAACACUAACCCCUGAGACCGUAGAUAACGAGGCCCUGCAUCUUUUUGCCAAAACUUUGUCAUUUGAGGCAGUUGUUUUGAACAAGAUGGCUUUGCUGAUACAAACCUCUAAGUCUGAGCUCCUAGAAGCUCUUGUUGAAAUAUGGGAAGACAUGGAUCACAUUAAAAGGAGUGAUAAUGAUUGCUUGGCUAUAGUGUAUGCUGACAUCUUGAUCAGGAAGUUGAUGUUAGAGAGCACAUUCUGGAAGGAAGUGGAGAAAGCCGAGCGAAAUGUCACUAUAACCAAAGAGAGCGGUGCUGAUUUAGAUGUUGACGCCACUGUGGUGUUUAAGACCUUCGUUAAAGCGGAACUAGCCUAUUCAAUUCAAAAUCUUAAACUUUGCUAUGAAGACAAAUUCCAAAUCCUUAAAAGGGAGUUGGCUGAAGCCCAUAGUAACUUACAGCAAAGGGAAACGGCUCUGAAAGCAAUUAUAGAAGCCUCUAAAAGGCCUGAUUUGAAAACUGUAAUAAAAGAGGUCAAACAUGAAUUUGGUCUUGGUAAACGAAGGUUAGCUGACAUUCGCCCCCCUGAACUUGCUCCCUACAUGGAGCAGAUUGAAAUGGAGGAAGCUAGAGAUUUGGCUCAGGAAAUUGUAGAUAGACAGUUGGGGAGUAUAGUUCCCUCUUAUGGUGUUGACUCUGUUGAAUCUUUUCAAAAUGCACAUGAAAGUCUGGCUAAUGAGCUUCAAAGACAAGCAGCAAUCCUACAUACAUUUGCUCAAGAAAUAGAAAGCAGGGGAAGCCAACCUGGACUUUCUAAACUAAUUCAAACUGUUUUAGGGCACCAAGCAUCUCAUAAUUUGAUGAGCACUUCUCUUUGCAUGCGUGAAGCCCUUAUCCAGGCUCAAGUGGCAUAUGUGGCAUGUAGACUACGGUCCAUGCAUGAGCAAGACUUAGGUUUGUGCAAGCAGACCAGCCAAAACAUGGAAGCUCUGGUGCAGCAGCAUGCCUGCAACGUCACAGCAAUCCAAGAAAAAUACGAAGCGUGUCUACACGUGGAGCGACAAAACUUCACACAAACUGUGGCCACACUCCAGGAGGAGAAUCAGACUCUGAAGAGCAAGCUCAGCAAACGUGUGAACCAGCUAUCUGAGCUGCAGGACCGAGCAGCCCUCAUGGAGAAUCAUUUCCAGAAGGAGACUGAAGAUCUGAAGCUGAAGCACAAAAAGGAGCUGAGCCAAGCAGAGCAAGGUUGGACCUCAACAGAGCUGGCCCUCAUGGAGACAGCCACUGACAAUCAGCGAAAGCUAGAGGUCCUACUCGUGGACAUGGACAGCAUGGAGGAACGGCACGAAAGUCAGGUAAGGAGACUCGAGGAGCAAUUUGAGGAGAGGAUCUGUGAGCUACAGCAUAUCCACAAAGAGGAGAUUGAUAAGCUACAUUCUCAGUAUUUGGAAAGCAUUAAGUGUGCCAAAGAGCACCAGCUGGACAAAAAAAGCCGUGAAGUCUCACGCUCACCGCCUUGUGACGAGGCUGGGACACCAAUGGAGGAGGAGGAGCAGGGGAAAGAAGAGGAUGCACAAAACAUGUCAGAAGUGGACUCCAUGGUGCUUCUGAAGGACCGAAUCCAGGAACUGGAGACUCAGAUGAAUAGCAUGAGGGACGAGCUGGAGAACAAGCACCUUGAGGGAGAUGUGGCCAGCCUGAGAGAGAAAUACCAGAGAGACUUUGAAAGUCUUAAGGCCACAUGCGAGCGUGGCUUUGCUGCAAUGGAAGAAACCCACCAAAAGGUGAUAGAAGACCUCCAGAGGCAGCAUCAGAGAGAGAUUUCCAAACUCAUGGAAGAGCGAGAGAGACUGCUAGCUGAGGAGACUGCUGCCACAAUUGCUGCUAUUGAAGCGAUGAAGAACGCACACAAGGAGGAAUUGGAGAAGAACCAGCGCUCCCAGCUGAGUGGACUGAACUCGGAUAUUGACGAACUCCGCUUACAAUAUGAGGAGGAGCUGCAGUCCAUCCAGAGAGAACUAGAGGUGUUGUCAGAGCAGUACUCUCAGAAAUGUCUGGAGAACGCUCACCUGGCUCAGGCGCUGGAGGCAGAGAGGCAGGCCCUCAGGCAGUGUCAGAGAGAAAACCAGGAACUAAACGCUCACAAUCAGGAAUUAAACAACAGAUUGAGUGCAGAGAUCACUCGGAUGCGCUCCUGUUUCAGUGGGGAAACGGCUCUAUCACCACUUACUCAAGGCAAAGACAUUUAUGAGCUGGAGGUGCUGCUACGAAUAAAGGAAUCAGAGAUCCAGUAUCUUAAACAGGAAAUCCACUCUUUGAAGGAUGAGCUGCAGUCUGCAUUAAGGGACAAGAAAUAUGCCACAGACAAAUAUAAGGACAUCUACACAGAGCUGAGCAUUGUGAAAGCAAAGGCCGACUGUGACAUUAGCAAACUGAAGGAGAAGCUGCACAUCGCCACUGAAGCUUUGGGGGAGAGGACUGUUGAUGGCACAGUUACAUCUGGAUAUGACAUCAUGAAAUCAAAAAGUAAUCCAGAUUUCAUGAAAAAAGAACAAUCAGCAUCAUCCAAGCAAUCAAGAGGUGUAAGGUCAAAGUCUGUCACCGAACAGGUCUCAUGGGAUAGCUGACACUCCCAAUGUGGGGUGAUUUCCCCCCUCCCAACCCCUGCCCCAAGAUGUGCUGUAGAGCCUGAAAGAGGGACUCACCGUGCAGGAGCGCAUGAAGCUUUUUGAGUCUAAAGAUUCCAGAAAGAUCUGAAUCUCAGUAUUCUGAAGUUUCUUCUUUUUAUCUGGCCUUUGUCAGAUUGCCACAUCUGUGCCAUCAUGAGCUAAAAAAUGCUUCAUCUGGACUUAUCGUUUCUAUGCCUCUGAUACAUCGUCAUAUUUCUGUUUAACUGGAUUUACAGAAUAUGUCCUGGGACUCUUUUUUUUUUUUUUUUUUUUAAACAGAUGUAUAAUCUGGCCAAGAUGGAGACUUGUCAAAUAAGCUGUGAGAGGGAUAAAUAACAAUUAUAUCAAUCCUCCAAGAUGCCAAAACAGACAAGAAUACACAA